rnacentral:rRNA from 1 species
GACGAACGCUGGCGGCGUGCCUAACACAUGCAAGUGGAGCGACGAACCGGGCUUCGGCCCGGGGCCAAGCCGCGAACGGGUGAGUAACACGUGGGUAACCUGCCCUGAUGAUUGGGACAACCCGAGGAAACUCGGGCUAAUACCGAAUGUGCCCUCCGACCAUAAGGUCUGCGGGGAAAGGAAGCUUCGGCCUCCGCAUCGGGAUGGGCCCGCGGCGCACUAGCUUGUUGGUGAGGUAACGGCUCACCAAGGCGACGAUGCGUAGCUGGUCUGAGAGGACGAUCAGCCACACUGGGACUGAGACACGGCCCAGACUCCUACGGGAGGCAGCAGUGGGGAAUCUUGCGCAAUGCGCGAAAGCGUGACGCAGCAACGCCGCGUGGGG